rnacentral:rRNA from 1 species
UGAACGCUGGCGGCGUGCUUAACACAUGCAAGUCGAACGAUGAAGCCUAGCUUGCUAGGUGGAUUAGUGGCGCACGGGUGAGUAAUAUAUAGAUAACGUGCCUCUUAGUCUGGGAUAGCCAUUGGAAACGAUGAUUAAUACUAGAUACUCCUUCUUAUUCUAAUGUAAGUCGGGAAAGUUUUUCGCUAAGAGAUCGGUCUAUAUCCCAUCAGUUAGUUGGUAAGGUAACGGCUUACCAAGGCAAUGACGGGUAGCGGGUUUGAGAGGAUGAUCCGCCACACUGGUACUGAGACACGGACCAGACUCCUACGGGAGGCAGCAGUGAGGAAUAUUGCACAAUGGGGGAAACCCUGAUGCAGCAACGCCGCGUGGAGGAUGACGCAUUUCGGUGUGUAAACUCCUUUUAUGAGUCAAGAAAAUGACGGUAGCUCAUGAAUAAGCACCGGCUAACUCC